rnacentral:rRNA from 1 species
AGCAGCCGCGGUAAUUCCAGCUCCAAUAGCGUAUAUUAAAGUUGUUGCAGUUAAAAAGCUCGUAGUUGAAUUUCGGGAUCAGUACGCCGGUCGUGCCUUCGGUAUGUACUGGUGUCACUGAUUCCUCCCUUCUGAAGAACCGUUAUGCCAUUCAUUUGGUGUGACGGGGAAUCAGGACUGUUACUUUGAAAAAUUAGAGUGUUUAAAGCAGGCUCGCGCUUGAAUACAUUAGCGUGGAAUAAUGAAAUAGGACGUUUGAUCUUAUUUUGUUGGUUUCUAGGAUCGACGUAAUGAUUAAUAGGGAUAGUUGGGGCAUUAGUAUUCAAUUGUCAGAGGUGAAAUUCUCGGAUUUAUUGAAGACUAACUACUGCGAAAGCAUUUGCCAAGGAUGUUUUCAUUAAUCAAGAACGAAAGUUAGGGGAUCGAAGACGAUCAGAUACCGUCGUAGUC